rnacentral:lncRNA from 1 species
GUCUCAUCGCAGCCCUCUGGCAGGACAGCGCGCGUCUAAACUAAGCCGAGGCGCACUUCGCUAAGGGGACCUCUCCGUUUGGACAAUCCCGACGCCCGGCUCUACGCGGAAUUCCUCAUCUCCCACACAACCCUUUGCCGCUCUGGUAUCAGCUGGUGGCUUCUCCGUGGCCAUGCAGAGAAUAGAGACAGAACUUGAAACUGAUGUGCACAUGAGUGAGAUUCUUCAGCAAGGUGACAGACAGGAGGGUAAAGAGGAAGUAGGAUGAGCUCUUUGCUUUGAGUUUCUGUUUUCCAGGUCGGCUUGAUUGGAAAGAGGGAUGGCCGUGGUGAGAGUUGACAGUGUGCUGGUAGCCCUCGCAGCCCACGCUCGCUCUCGGCGCCUCCUCUGCCUGGGCUCCCACUUUGACGGCACUUGAGGAGCCCUCCAGCCCGCCGCCGCACUGUGGGAGCCCCUUGCUGGGCUGGCCGAGACCGGAGCCAGCUCCCUCAGCUUGCAGGGAGAUGCUCCUGCCGGGCCUGAGUCUCCCCGACGAGCGCUGCCCCAUGUUCCACGGCGCCCGAUCCCAUCCACUGCCCAAGGUCUGAGGAGUGCCAGCGCACGGCGACGGAGUGGCAGGCAGCUCCACCUGCGGCCCCGGUGUGAGAUCCACUGGAUGAAGCCAGCUGGACUCCUGAGUCUGGUGGGGACUUGGAGAAUCUUUAUGUCUAGCUGGGGGAUUGUGAAUGCACCAAUCAGCACUCUGUAUCUAGCUCAAGAUUUACAGGUUCAGUCCUGAAGCCAGCGAGACAAAGAACCCACUGGGAAGAACAAACAACUCCAGACGCCCCAACUUAAGAGCUGUUAACACCCGAAGAUCUGCAGCUUCACUUUUGAGCCAGCGAGACCACGAACCCACCAGAAGGAAGAAACUCUGAACAGGCUGGAACGUCAGAAGGAACAAACUCAGGACAUGCCACCUUUAAGAACUGUAACACUCACUGUGAGGGUCUGCGGCUUCAUUCUUGAAGGCUGUGAGACCAAGAACCCACCAAUUUCGGACACACUGGGACCACCCUCGCUGACUGGAGGUAAUAUUGGUUUUUGCUGUUGAAAUUAAUGACAAAAAGCGUGAUUACCUUUGCACCAACCUAAAUGUAAGUAGCCGAGGGCCAGUGUGGUGGUGCUGUGAUGCCUUCUAUGUCACAGGCUGUUUUUGUUUUUAAUUUCUCCAUCCUUAUUAGUGCUUUUCCUUAAGGUCACCUCAGGUCCACAGACAAGGCUGCUGAGCCUCCAGCUAUCCUGCCCAUGUUCUAUUUAAGAAAGAAGGGACAGGAGCAAAGAUGUUUUCCAGCAAUCUCAUCCAAUGCAUUUGCUGACAUUUCACUGGCCACCCCAUCAGGAAGGAAAGCCAGACAUUUUUUUUCUGCACCUAGAAAUUUACAGGUUUUAUUAGUUAAGAAUAUGGUUUAGUAGACUUUGGGUAGGAAACUAGCAGUCGCUGAUGUGUGAGGGAUUCUAAAAAUAAGCUUGGACUUUUAAAAACAUGUCUGAUAUGUUUGUGCCCUGUAGAUCCAUGUCACUUGGCAAAGUUCCUCCAGAGUUAUCUAGAAUUUUUCCUUUAUUUCAAUAUCUCAUCAAUUGCUCCCGAUCAGUUGCCAAACCUUGCCAGUUUCAAGUCCCAGAAUGUAAACUAAAUCUGUUUCCUCCUCUUCAUUCCUGAUACCACUUCCCUAGUUCAGGCCCUGCUGUUCCUCGCUAGGUCGCUGGCACCACCUCUUGACUGUGUCCUUUGAGUAGGGAGAGUAAAGCAUGAACGGUGCCAGCUCUACAGCUGGAGCUUGGCUUUUCUUGGGGGGGGGGGGUAAAUAAAUUAAACAGAAAAUGCUGGUAGUUCCUGUGGUGUAUCUGAGCUAUCUGUUUAAAUAGCUGAUUCGUUCAUCAUUAGGUGUCCAAGGACAGUGACUUGCCUUAUUCUGCUCUUAUUCUCCAGCACUUGAGGCAAUCAUUCCCAGAUAGUGGAACCUCGAAUGGCAGACACUGUGGUUCUCCUGCGGGGCUGAGAACUGUGAGGAGCAGAGCAGACUUCAUGGAGCUCCACAAGUCACAUACACAGGCGGCUGCUGGCUAUUUCCGCUUUCUCAUCUGGAAUUGGCAGCGGACUAAGUGGGCCCUACUUAUUAGGUUGGUGCAAAAGUAAUCGCGAUUCUUGCCAUUAAAAGUAAUGGCAAAAGCUGCGAUUACUUUUGCACCAAUCUUACUAUAUAUAUAUUAUUUUUUCAAAUCUCAGUUUUAUUCUCAUUCCAGCAUCCUAAUGCUUUCCCUUUGGAUUUUUUUUUCUAAUCUUGAGAAGUUUGUGUUUUCAGUGUAGUAAUAACAAUAAUAGUGUUCUUAGCACACGCGUUACGCCAAGGGCUUUUAAAAGAUACUUUUCAUAAACCAACUCACUUAAUUCUCACAACAACUUUUGAAGUAGUCCACUUUCUAAUCCUCAUUUUACAGAUAAGGAAACUGAGGCACACAAGGUCAGCUAACCUGCCCGAGGUCUCUAGCUAGUGACUGGAAGAGGUGUUCUCUGGAUAUUAUUUGAAUCUCAGUCUCGCUAUAUUUCUUCGUCAUGACUGUAACUUUCCCCCUGUAUUUCUAAAUAUUUUAAUCUCUUGAUCAUAUAGCAUACGUUGAUUUAAUAAAUCACUUUUACAUGCAUUAUCGUAUUUGGUAUUCAUCACAGCUCUCUGAGGUGGGUAAGGGAGAUUUGGUUACUUCUUUCUGACAAAUGAGAAAAAUGAUGCUCAUAGACACUGUUAAGUUAGAAGCACAGGGCGUUAAUUCUGGAAGUGUUUUAAAGAUUACCCAAUCCAGCCACUCAACUUUUAGGAAAUUGAGCGUCAGAAAAAUAAAUGCCUUUCUCUAGUUCCCACAGCUGGCUGCAGUACCAAUCACCUGCCUCUGAGUUCAUUGCCAGCUGGGUGCUGUGGAACUUACCUUGACUUUGGAGUUAAUUAUCCAACUUCUCUGAGCUAUAGUUUACCCUUUAUAAAAUGAGGGCAUGAUUAUGCUUCAUAAGACUGUUGUGAAACAUAAAUAAAGUUAAUAUGUGCUGGGCCUAACACAACCCAGAUAUCCAUGAAAAGGGGUCAGGCUUUUUUUGCCCACUCCUCAUUUUACCUUUUCUGUAACGCUGUCGUGAGGACAUAAAAUAAGUUGCUAUUCUAUAGCAUGUAUUUUAUUCUAUACCAUGGGGCUAGGAAAUAAAAACCCUGCCCAUCCCCUGCUCUCUGAUGUUUUUUUCUGAACUAGUUUCACGUGCCUCCUUUUACUUGCCAUAAUCUUUGGCUGCGGAAAACCUCCAGGCCCAAUCAAUCAGGUUGCUUCUACUCUCUCCAGGCUUUGUUUGCAGCCUGAACUCCAGGGUCCAUCACGUCAAUCGUACUGUUGCCACUGUUUUUGCACUCCCUUACCCGCUUUGCUCAGCAAAACUCCAGUCCCCCGUCAGUCCAAACACCCGAUUUCCCCACCCGUGCACCAGUGCUGCUGCUGCAGGUGACACUGUGAACUUGCUACACGUUCUUGGGCUCACCCCAGCAGGGCCCUCCGUUCUGCAGAGCGAUCAUUUCCAGUUCUAGUCCUGUUUCCCUCACAGCUCUUUGAGAUUUUCGUGUCAUUCCUCAAACUCCAGACCUCACCACCUCACCUUAUAGCAAGAGUGUUUGGUACCCUGCUGAGAAAAGCAGUCAUCCUCAUGGAAGAUCGCUAACGUCAGCAGGGUGCUUUCUGUGGGGCAGACAUUGGGGCAAGUCCACCAUUUAUGUCAUUUCGUCCAUCUUCACCAGAGUGCCAGGUAGUAGAUAUCGUUAUGAUUGUUCCAUUUUAGAGGGGAAGCAGCUUAAGCUCAGAGAGGUUGUGUAACUUCUCCAAGGUGGAACAGCUGGGGGAAGAGAGCCACAAGCAGCUCAUGGCUUGCCUCUAGAGCUGACCUAUUAAGUAUCAAACAACAAAUUCCUCUAUGUUCUCCCCUGUACACAACAAACUUAUCUUCGUUAAUUUUUAAAAAUUAGGUUUAAAAAAUUUUCUGAUUUAUUCAUGCAUACAAUUUAAAGAGGCAAACAGGUAUGAGGAAACAGCAGCCCCUGACCUUCUUAUCCUUAACUUCCACUUCCCCAGAAGCAGCCACUUUUAACUGAAUUUGUUUGGCACUUACAUCCACGCUUGUAAAUAUCACGCUGAUGCUGCCACUCACUGAUAUGUCCAUUUGAUCCCCUCUGUGGACUUCCCACGGGGGAGCAUGAGGGUUUAGCUCUUCCACACAGCAACACCCCUUUCUCUCAACACAGACAACACAUUUUCUGUCUGUCCCAUCUUCCUAUAAGUUGUACUCAUUUAUGUAAGAUAUAAAUGCUAAUCAUGACUACGCACAGGUAUGUUAUCAUUACUUUUCCUCUUCUGAACAUUGGUGUGAGGCCUAAAAUUAAGGCCCUGUGGUAUAUGCUGCCCUGACCUUUGGUGAAACCAGGAAGGCAUCAAAUGGUCUAACCUCAAGUUCCCCUCAAGCCUGCACCUGUGGAUAAGGUCCCUUGGCUAAACACCCCUCCUUACUGAGCGGACCAGGCACAGUUCCUGCCUAUUCCUGAGUAACAAGUUUCGGUUCCCUACCAGCCUGGAGUUUUAUUCAGACAAGCCAAUCACACCCUCCCAUGGGGACCAGGGGUCACCUCACCCCCGUGGUACUACAAAGCCUGGCUCCCGCCGCCUGGUUGCUCACUCUGCUCCUGAGGGCCUGAGUGGUGGGCAUCGCUCUUCUCCCCUGGGCUGUGAGCACUUGCUGUUAAUCAACGGCCAUCGAUCUUACCUGGCCAGUGUCUGGCGUUGUGGGUCCAGCCAUUCCUCCCUCAACGAAGAGGUGUAUAGAAAGCGAGUAAAACACACGUCACUUUGUGUUUCUAGGGUUGAUCCGAAUCUGCUCGGUUUUCCAGUGUAUACAUCCUCUCCCAAUCCCUUCAAACUUUAAUGUCGAGUUCCUCUUCUUGGUGACUCUGACCUCUGGUCUAGCUUGGUGGGUCACUUACACCCACUCUGUGGCCAUCACCUUUUGGAGAUUUUGCCUGUCUGAAAAUGUUGUUAUUCUUACACUUACUUGAUAGUUCGGCCAGGUCUGGAGUUACUGGUUGGAAAUUAUUUUUCUUUAGAAUUUAGAAGCCAUUUUCAUGUCUUUUAGUUUCCAACAUUGCUGUUGAGAAGUUCAAAGCCAUUCAAAUCCUUAAUCCUUCAUAUGUGAUCUGUUUUUCCUUUGCUAUAUGGAAAACAUUCCCCUCACCGCCCCCCCCUUUAUAAAUUUACCAAUGAAAUGCACUAGUGUGGUUCUAUUUUCAUUCGUUGAACUUGAAUGGGUCUUUCUAAUCCAGAAAUUCAUCCUGGAGCUCUGGGACCAUUUUCACGACUGAGUCAGUUGAUGGUUUUCUCCACUCCAUUUUCUUUUCCUGUUUCUACUUUCUGAAACUCAUAUGAUAUAGAUAUUGGCUUUCUUGAAUAGUUCUCUAAUUUUAUUAUCAUUUUUCUUUUCUUUCCUUUUUUUUUUUUGUUUGAGAUGGUGCCACCCAGGAGUGCAAUGGCUGAAUCUCGGCUCACUGCAACCUCUGCCUCCCGGGUUCAAGUGAUUCUUCUGCCUCAGCCUCCCGAGUAGUUGGAACUACAGGCCCACGCCACCAUGCUAAUUUUUGGAUUUUUAGUAGAGAUGGGGUUUCACCAUGUUGGCCAGGCUGGUCUUGAAAUCCUGACCUCAGGUAAUCCGUCCACCUUGGCCUCCCAAAGUGCUGGGAUUACAGGCAUCAGCCACUGCACCUGGCCUUUUUUUCCUAUUUUCUGUUUUUAAUCAUCAGCUUUCUAGAUUUCUUUACCUCAUCUUCUAAUCUUUCUACUGAAUGUUUUAUUUCUCCUGUUCUAUUUUUAAUUUGAAGGUUGGUUUUUGGUGCUCUUUUUGGUAAACUCUAGGCUUGUGGGUGGGGUUUUAUUGAUGGCGGGCUUCCCUGUGGGAUGAGUUGGCUGAGCAUUUUCUCGCAGAUCCCCUACACUGGUUGGUCUCUUCCUGUAGGUGGGCCAGAUGCCCCCAGGAGAGCUUCCAAACUCUUUCCUGAAGGCGGGCGCCACACUGCCAGCUGCCAGCACGCGGGGCUCCAGCAGGAAAGGAGAUGUGUACUGAUGACUUUGUAUCCUUCCACACCGCCAAGUCAGCCACCACUCACUAGCUGGUUUUCAGUUUCUAAAACUGCGUUGCUGAUGUUUGCAUUCCUUUGGGAUUUUUAAUACUUUUUAUGUAUUAUAUAUUGAUAUAACUAUUAAUUAUGUAUUAAUAUAACUUUACUGUUAUUUAAAUGGGAUUUGGGAGGAAUUGAGGCUAAUGCAGUUUAGUUUUUGUCUGUUUAUUUCUAUUUCUACCUAUUCUUUCAUUUCCUCUCAUUUUCGCUAAUUUUUUUUCUAGUCUGAGGUUGUUACUUCAUGCGAUACUCGAACUCAGUGCCUUUGCAUCUCCUCCCUGGUCUGUCUUGUGCUUUUGAAUCUACACUACCUUUUCCUUUCAGCUAUGAACACAUUGCGAUAAUUCCAUCUUAGACAUUCGUUUGAACCCGCAUCUUCCUCAUUUUCUCUUUUGUAUCUCUACUUCCUUUUGCAGCCGAGCUUUUAGAAAGUAUCCCUGUCUCUGCUUCCUCUGAACUUAUUCACCACUCUACCCAUGGAAGGGGACUUCCUAGAAAGUCCCCAGAUACCCCCACAGACACUUUCCUCUCUUGAGUUCACUCUACUGCUUAAGGCCAUCUUGACUACAUUCAGAAUUCUCUUUUUCCCUUGUUUUUGUUAUUAUUAAAAGGAAGUUUAUCUACACUGAAAGUAAUGCAUAUUAAUUAUGUAAAUUUGGAAAACAGAAACAAUACAGGAAGGAAAGAGGAAAUCCCAUUCAUACAUGUACCAAACAGCGAUAACUCCUGUUAAACUCAGGAUGCAUUUCCUUCCCAAGUUUUUGCUGAGAAUAUACUAUUUGCGUAACUGGAUAAUUAUCUAUAUGUACAUGUGUUUGUAUAGAGCGGCAUGUUCUGAUUUUAUGGAAGGCUCCAUAUCCCCACAUCCAAUGAUCUCAAGGAUCACUCCACUUAUAUGUUCUCAAACUUAAUAUUUUUAAAGCGAUUUUUCAGAAAAUUGGUUGCUUUUAAGUUUCCCAUCUGAACAAUGAAUCCUAUCACUAGUCAACCAAUUGACAAAGCCAGAAACCUGUGUCACAUCUUCACCUUUUCCCUCUCCCUCACUUCUGCGAUCUAACCAGUUGCAGCUCCUUUGAGUUUUUUAUUUUAUUCUAUUUUUUGUUUUUUUGAGAUGGAGUUUCACUCUUGUUGCCCACACUGGAAUGUAAUGGUGCAAUAUCGGCUCACCACAACCUCUGCCUUCCAGGUUCAAGCGGUUCUCCUGCCUCAGCCUCCCUAGUAGCUGGGAUUAUAGGCCCUUGCCACCACGCGCAGCUAAUUUUUUUUUUUUUUUUUUUAGUAGAGACGGGGUUUCUCCAUGUUGGUCAGGCUGGUCUCGAACUCCUGACCUCAGGUGAUCCACCGGCCUUGGCCUCCCAAAGUGCUGGGAUUACAGGCGUGAGCCACCGCACCUGGCCGGCUCCUUAGAAUUUUAAUUCACCUCUUCUAAGAACAUCACUUCAGGUUAUGGUUUCACACUUUUUGCCUGAAAUAUCGCAUUAACCUCAGCGAAGACUUGGAACCAACCCAAAUGUCCAACAAUGAUAGACUGGAUUAAGAAAAUGUGGCACAUAUUCACCAUGGAAUACUAUGCAGCCAUAAAAAAUGAUGAGUUCAUGUCCUUUGUAGGGACAUGGAUGAAAUUGGAAAACAUCAUUCUCAGUAAACUAUCGCAAGAACAAAAAACCAAACACCGCAUAUUCUCACUCAUAGGUGGGAAUCGAACAAUGAGAUCACAUGGACACAGGAAGGGGAAUAUCACACUCUGGGGACUGUUGUGGGGUGGGGGGAGGGGGGAGGGAUAGCAUUGGGAGAAUUACCUAAUGCUAGAUGACGAGUUAGUGGGUGCAGUGCACCAGCAUGGCACAUGUAUACAUAUGUAACUAACCUGCACAAUGUGCACAUGUACCCUAAAACUUAAAGUAUAAAAAAAAAAAAUCCUAGCAGCUAACCCUACCUCCUAGAACUAUUCCUCAGAAUGCUGGCAGAGCAAUUGAUGCUGCUCCCCAAUGAUGUCACUUGCUGAAUCAUGUCCUUUAUUGAAAAAUUCUUCAACAUCUCCCCAUAGCUUGCCGAAUAAAGUUACGAUUCCUUAGCCUGGGACUCAAGGCUUUCAUGCGUCUUUCAGAGAUGUCUGGCCUCUGUUCCUAGUUUUACUGGUUUCAUCAUCCCAUACCUCUUUACUAUGGGAACAAUAGAUCACGCCAUUUCUUUCCUUCAAAACUUUCUUCAUUCUCUUCUCUUUUUCCCUUUCUUAUGUAGCUAAUUUUUACACAUUCUUCAAAAUGUAGAUGAGUGUCCUUUAUUCAAAGAGGCCCUCUUUUAUUUCCUAGUCUAAUUUAGAAGCUUCUCCUAGCUGCUUCCAUAUCACCAUCAGCUACCGUAUCACUGAAAUGAUGAUUUACUUUGAUGUUCCUUCACUAAUCUAUCUAUCAAUCAUCUAUUAUCUAUCUAUCCAUCCAUCCAUCUUCAGAGUUGAGGCUGUGAGUUACUUGACAUUGUAUUUCUAAUACCUAAUCCAGGGUUUGAUACAGGAUAGACUCUCAGUGUUUACAGGAGGAAUAGCUGCCCAUUCUGAGUUUUUAUGUGGAUGCUCUAUUUUCAAGGACAGUUCUUUUUUACUUUACACUUUUGUAAUGAGUGUGUGAAGAGAGAUUAUUGCAUAGGUGUGAGGGAGGAGGGAAAGAAAUACAGAAGUUUAUAUAGGUCACCACAAAGGAUUAUUCCAAAUUACCCUUUUGGGUUUCUCAUAGCCGUUUUUAGGAUAAGACUAGAAUUAAACCAAAGUGUAAAAGUAGGAAGGGAUGGGAAGUCCGCUCAUUUGGAAGUCUAAUCUAAUGUAGUGCAUGUUUCCACAGGGAAACUGUUGCAGAGGACAAGUGUCAGAAAAGUACUUUAAUAGGUAAUUGUUUGUGUUUGUGGUGCAUUAUUUUGCCAAAUUACACAAUAUGGCAAUAAGACAAAGUAUAUCAUUUAAAAUUAUCCUGUUAAGGCCAGGUGCGGUGGCUCAGCCUAUAAUCUCAGCACCUUGGGAGGCCAAGGUGGGCAGAUCGCUUGAGGUCAGGAGUUCGAGACCAGCCUGGCCAACAUGGGGAAAUCCCGUCUGUGCCAAAAAAUAAAUUUUGAAAAUUUGCCAGGUGUGGUGGUGGGUGCCUGUAAUUCCAGCUACUUGGAAGGCUGAGGCAGGGGGAACCCUUGAACCUGGGAGGUAGAGGUUUCAGUAAGCCGAGAUGGUGCCACUGCAUACCAGCCUGGGCAACAGGUGAGACCCUGUCUCAGAAAAAGAAAAUUUUUAAUGAAAUAAAAUAAAAUUACCUUCUUAAAGCAUAUUGAAUAGUAAAAAUCAUGUACAAUAACACUACAAAUAGUUGAGUUGUCAUUGAUUUUCCACGUAAAAGUUUUUUCUCUGUGUUUAAUCAUGUUUUUCUUUACAAGGUAUCACUUGUUCUUUACCUUCUUGCGGUGUUUCUCUCUCAGUUCUUCAAUAAUAAAGCAUCUCACAAUGAGACCUGUGAUUUCCUCAAUUGAAUUCCAAGUCCUCAGAUAUGGUAUUGGAGCUUCUCAGCGAUUUGAUAUAUCCUAAUCAUGGUACCCUAAUAUUUUUUAGGCGGUGCAAUAUAAUGUUGGAGAUAGAAGGCUCCUAGAUAUCAUGUAAUGUAGAGACUCUGUAGCAGAAAGAAGUGGGCUUGAAGAUGGGAUAGUUAGUAUCAAAAGCAUAUCAUGGCCAGGCAUGGUGGCUUACACCUGUAAUCUUACCAUUUUGGGAGGCUGAGGCAGGGGAUUGCUUGACGUCAGGAGUUUGAGACCAGCCUGGCCAACAUGGCAAAACGCUGUCUCUACUAAAAAUACAAAAAUUAGCUGGGUGUGGUGGUGGGUGCCUGUAAUCGCAGAUACUUGGGAGGCUAGGUGGGAGGAUUGCUUAAGCCUGGGAGGUAGAGGUUGCAGUGAGCUGAGAUCAUGCCACUGCACUUCAGCCUGGGCGACAGAGCAAGACCCUGUCUCAAAAAAAUGCAUAUUAGAAGGGGUGCCGAUGGGAGCAAGAAGGUCUCUGCCAGUGGGGUCAUUCAGGUCGUCAGGCCCCAUACUCCCAUUAAUAAGGCUGCCUGAAAGAGAAGACAAUCCUCAACCCAGUAUGUCAGAGCUUUGAGAUCUGUAGCUACUGUCUCACUCUUCUGCAGUUUCACACACUCUAAGGGACGUGAGUCAUCAGAUUUUCUGAGAUAUCAGGGUCUGGCAGACAAUGCAGAAUAAUAAAAACAUUACCCUAGAAAUACAGAAGGAAACUCCUGUCUCAAGAAGAAAUUGAACGUACUCAAUGUGGAGGCCCAGAAUCAUCACUGGGACGGCUGUUUAUCAUCAGAGCCAAUAAUUUUUUUACAGUAAAGGACUUCCAAAAUGACAAAUGUGAAAUUGUAUGUCAAACAACUUUAAUAAAUGUUCUGUUAAAAAAAUGUAGAAAAGAUAAAAAGCAUAUCAGAAACUUUUCCAAAACAUUUAUCCCUGGCUUCUUGGUUUCCUCCCUCCUGAACUCUGAAAUUCUUGUAAGUUUGGUGGCAGGCAUGAGUGUUACACAUACAGAUACACAUGCAAACAAAACAACUUUCCGGUGAUCAUAAUAUCCUCUACCUUUGCCUUUCUCUUUGAGUUCAGAACUAUUGAUUCAGUGUAGCUUUUGUUUUCAAGGAAACUAUAGCUCAAAAAGUUCAAGUUUCACUGACUUGUCCUGGGUGAUGGGGCUAGUUAAUGGCAAAGCCAGUCCUGGAACCUCCGCCUCUCCUGCUGUUGGCAAAGCACUUCUGCUACACGCACUGCUUUCCUGGAUGACUUUUAGAAACUGCCUCUUCAGCUUUGAAGAAUCCAGAGAAAUCUUUUUUCUCUUUUUUUUUUUUUUUUUGAGACAGAGUCUUGAUCUGUUGCCAGGCUGGAGUGCAGUGGUGUGAUCUCGGCUCACUGCAACCUCCACCUCCUGGGUUCAAGUGAUUCUCCUGCCUCAGCCUCCCCAGUAGCUGGGACUACAGGCGCACGACCACGCCCAGGUAAUUUUUGUAUUUUUAGUAGAGAUGGGGUUUCAUCAUGUUGGCCAGGAAGGUCUCAAUCUCUUGACCUUGUGAUCCGUCUGCCUCAGCCUCCCAAAGUGCUGGGUUUACAGACAUGAGCCACCAUGCCCGACCCCAGAGAAACCUUUAGCCUGACUCUUCAGAUCUAGCAGCUCUAAGGACCAUGACAUCGUUCUGCUGGGGAUGUUGUCCUGGCUUCUCCUCUCUCACUUUACUUCCAAAAGGCUUCCAGGACCAAGCAGCUAUUGCAAGUUCCAGAGAAUUAUUUCUCCAAACCAGGACCUUAUCCUAUAGGUGUGAGAGCAAGGACUAGACAAGGAACCAGAGUAAUGAUGAUUCUUCAUUACACCUUCACAUCUAAGCAGGCCUUAAAGGAAGGGACAAAGUUAUCCUCAAAGGAAUACACAGCUUGCCCAAAUGCAGUUGGAGAACCAGGUGAGUGGUCCUCCCUGCCAACAAAGCAAAGUCUAGGCCUGCAAAUCACUGCCACCAGGCGAUAGAGAAUGUAAACAAUAAUUCCGAGGCCUGACAUAGCCAAGCGAGGUUGCUGCAUUGCUCUGAAAGGCACAGAUACUCUAGGGGGAAGGGGUUGCUUUGCAUUUUGAGCACAAUUUGGCCAUGCAAGAAUCUCCUUACCAAAAUAAGCAUCUUGAGCUUGCAUUUUCUUUCUGGCAGGAAAAAGGCCUAGAACUUCCCAAGUGAACAAGCUACACCCACUUUUCAAAUAUUGUCACAAGUCAUUGUAAAAAUACUCUCUCAUAAACGCUCUGGCUAUAAGAGGAAAAUAGAACCACACCAAACACCUCACCCCAAUAUUUCAGAGUCCCACAUUGGGAGCAGUAAAUAAGAUUAGGGAUUAUAGCCUGCUCUGCGUUCAUCUCUGUACAGAAAUGUACUGCAGAAACCACACCCUUGUAAAAGGGAAAAGCAGGAGGAAGUGGACCCGUAAAAGCUAAGUAGUCAGAGGACAUCCAGCUGGGGAUAAAAGGCAUUUUAGGACUGGCUCAGUGAAGUGCUGCAAACACAAGUUCACUGUAGAAUAAAUAGCCUGGGCUGUCUGGGCUGGAAGGUGGCAGCUGCAUUUUAUGUCCAGACUCGGGAGGCAGAGUUGAAACCUCACGUUCAACACUGGUCCCUGCCCCCAACACAUAGGCACCAAGGCACAUACAUGCAGGAUAAAAUGUCUUCUCUUUGGAUUAAAAAGUUAAUAAAGCAAUAGGUGAUUGCCUAGAAGGGUGCAUUCUAGAGUUUGCUCUAGCAAGCUAGGAAAACAACAGAUGGUGGAAAGUUUGCUUCUCCUGCUUACAAACCACAUGAAAUGAGGCAGUGGAGUUGUCAUUUAGCUUUUAGGAAUUUAGCUUUUAGCUUUAGCAUUUAGCUUUUAGUUUUGAGCAACUUGGAUUCAAUUCAAAUGGUGCUUCAAGUUGUGUGAUGUGUGUUAUAUCGGAGAGUAUAUUACUAGAUUUUGUCCCAUUUUUUAGCAUUAGGAUAGGCAACUCACCGGUUCCCGGGAACUGGCAUGUGUGAGAUGAGGAAGUAGAGGAGACCCUGAGGCCGUUGGUGGGCCUUACCUGCUGCCUUCUCUCCCUGCCAGGGUCAGGCCAGUCCUAUUGCCUCUUCUCCUGGGGACUCCCACCCCUCUUCUCCUCCAUCGCCAUUCCAGAAUACCACUGCCCACACUUGCUGCCUGAAAAGAAGAAUGAUCUGAAGUCCAGCUCUUUUCUCUCUAGUUCAACUUUACAUCCAUGUCAUCCAACUUUCUACAGGAGCAAAGCUUUCCUGUGUGCAAAAGCUCUCCAUCACUUUUCUUUAUUUGUAUAAUACAAUCCAAAUUGGAUCCGUCCUGCCUUGCCGGCCCCUUGCCCACUGCCUCAUUGCCCAGGGAUCUCUCAACCUCAUCUCAAUACACUCCCUUGCCUGGGCCCUGGCUUCUGCUUCAUGAAACCCACUUUCCCCCAACCCAUGUUGUUUAUGGGAAGUCCUGCCCACUCCUGAAGCCUUUCCUCAGGUUCGUCUUUUCCAGAGGGACUUCCCUUAUGCUUCACCAUGCGCCGAGCCCUUCCCGCCCUGCUCUCCCUAGCGCUGUGUUGGUAGCUUUGCGACCGCACUGCCCAUGGUUGGCUUCAUGCCGUGCACAUCUCUGAACCUCACUUCAUGCCGUGAGCUCCUUGAACAGAGCAGAGAGGGAAGACUAGCAUGAAGGGGUGAUGGGGAGUCACGGCCUUAGGAGCAGGAGUCGGGAAGGUAACAAUCACACAGAGAUCUCUCAUGUCACUACGCUGGUGUUAUAAUUCAUGUCAGCCAUGCACACGUACAAUCCAGUAUCUAUAAGGCUUAUACAUAUUCUUUAAAACCAAGGUUACAUCUGCAAUCACCAUUCCAUAGCAUCUAGAAAGAUGUAACGCCCGGCUAUAAAUAGGGUAUACCCACAAAAUAUCAUAGGACAUUAUUCAAAAUCAGGAUAUUAAAAAUUAAAUCUGUUUAAAACACCUAGAAAACCCUUGAAAAACUUCUAUGUAAUCAUUUACUUUUAAUAUUUGGGGAAAGAGCAGAAGAACAUAUGUCUGAUCAAAUUCACUACAACGGAUUUUUUCACUUCCAGAUUUACAGAAUGCCUGUCACUUGCCUAAGUUCCUUGUUUAAAAAGAAAGAGACUUUUCUCCACACCACUUCUCAAUAUUUAUUUAUGCAAAUGGGACAUGAGUCACAAGCAUGCAGAGAUGAACCCUGAUUUAUGACAACAUCAAGAAAAUAGCUAAAAAUAUGUGUGUCUCAGGAUGAUUCAAAGUGCAAUAGGGGAAUUUCCAGUGAUUUGGUAACAAAUGUAGCAGCCCAACUCCCAUUUAUUUUUCCAGCAAAUAUUCCCAAGGAGCAUGAAAAAAUGACAGCUGCAUAAUCGCAACAGUUAAUUUUUUCAUGUUAGUUGAUUCAACCUUUUUGUCAAAAAAUGAGAGGAAGAAUAAAGGAAAAGCAAGAGUGUAAAUGGUAGAUCAAAUUCGCAUAUUAACAACUUUGGAAGUAAAAACUUCAAUACUCUAUCUGUAGCCAAAUAUUAAUAUUUUAGUCAUUAAGCCUAAUUGCGGAGAAGUUAUACAAUAAACAAGAUGAGGCUAUAUUCUUGCUGAGGUAUCUAUGUGAAGGGUAGCACUCUAGAACUCUGGAGUUAAAAAGAACAUGCAAUAUCCCUGAAUUUGGCCUCCUACUUUGUUUGGGCAAGGAUUGUCUCCAAAAACUGACCUCCGAGAAGUAGAAUUUAGCCUGUUAAAUACUUACAGUAAUGGGUCACUCACUGCCUCUGUCUUGUUUUCGGGGCUGCUGUAACAAAUUGCCACAAAUUUAGUGGCAUGAAAAUCGCGAUUUAUCAUCUCACAGUUCUGAAGGCCAGAAGCUCAAAGGUGUUUGGCCGGGCUGCACCCGCUACAGGGCCUGUAGUGGAGAAUCCAUUUGUUUCUAGUUUUUCGUGGCGUCUGGCUUCCUUAGCUAGUGCCACAUUGCUCCAAUCUCUGCUCCGUCUUCACAUUAUCUUAUCCUCUGUGUGUCUCUUAAAAAGAGACUUGUUACUAAAUUUAGGGAUCACCCAGGUAAUACAGAAUGAGUUUCUCAUCUCAAGAUUUUUAACUUAAUGACAUCUACAAAGACCCCUUUUCUUUCUUUCCUUUCUUUUUUCUUUUCUUUCUUUUUUUCUGUCUUUAUUUUUCUUUCUUUCUUUCUCUCUCUUUUCUUUCUCUCCUUCCUUUCUCUCUUUUCUUUCUUUCUCCUUCCUUCCCUCCUUUCUUUCCUUCUUUCCUUCUUUCUUUCUUCCUUCCUUUCUUUCUUCCUUCCUUCCUUCCUUCCUUCCUUCCUUCCUUUCUUUCUUUCUUUCUUUCUUUCUUUCUUUUUUUUUUUCUUUCUUUCUUUUUUGAUGGAGUUUCACUCUUGUUGCUGAGCUUGGAGUGCAAUGGUGUGAUCUCAGCUCAUGGCAACCUCUGCCUCCUGGGUUCAAGCGAUUCUCCUGCCUCAGCCUCCCAAGUAGCUGGGACUAUGGGCAUGCGCCACCACGCCUGGCUAAUUUUUGUAUUUUUUUUUUUUUUUUAGUAGAGAUGGGGUUUCUCCAUGUUGGUCAGGCUGGUCUCGAAUUCUCGACCUCAGGUGAUCCACCCACCUCGGCCUCCCAAAGUGCUGGGAUUACAGGUGUGAGCCACAUCGCCCAGCCAAACACCCCUUUUCAAAAUAAGGUCACAUUCACAGGUUCUAGGGAUCAGGACAUGGACAUAUCUUUCUGGGGGCCACCAUCUAGCCAUUGCCACCUCCAAAGGCAAGACAUACAUUUUUGGCCAGAUCUCAUUAGGUGGCCUUGCAUUGUUUUGAACAGUGUUUAUGUAUCUUUACUAUUUUUGGGGUAGUUCCAAAGUAGGGCUCUGCCUCCUACUGGGAGCUGAAAUGGACAGGCUCUUUUCCUCCCAGACUGUGGACUCUAGGGCACGAGCAGCACAUGGCAUAAUCAGAGCCAUUCAUGCCCUCGCUGGGGCUGGGACUCUCAAGGGGUGCAGCAAAGCUCAAAGUGGGAGAUUAUUGUGGCAGCUGUUGUAUAUCCCCAGCAUGAGCCUCGUCAGUGAGUCCAGUGGCAACGGUGCCCUUGGUAGUAUUAGGAGCCAACCAUGCCUGGACAGGGCUUUGCCCAGGCCUCGCCUAGUUGCUUGGUUGUCUGGUCUUCCCAUAAGUGCUGUGAGCUAUCAUUUCCAAUACUACGUUUUUCCGUGGACACUUCAACAACUUAUGUUCUUGACAGCCAAGAACUGCUAAAAUCUGUCUCUGUGUGUGCCAGCCUAAUAUCUCAAUCCUUUCCCUAAAGCUGUGCAGAAUAUACCUACUUUGUUUUGCACAUAAGAAAGCCCUCAAAAAGUCACGCAAUCUACUGAUUGAUAGUAUCCUAAAGAUUGUCUUCUCUGGCCAGGCGUGGUGGCUCAUGCCUGUAAUCCCAGCACUUUGGGAGGCCGAGGUGGAAAGAUCAUGAGGUCAGGAGAUCAAGACCAUCCUGGCUAACAUGGUGAAACCCUGUCUCUACUAAAAAUACAAAAAAUUAGCCAGGUGUGGUGGCACCUGCCUGUAAUCCCAGCUACUUGGGAGGCUGAGGCAGGAGAAUUGCUUGAACCCAGGAGGCAGAGGUUGCAGUGAGCUGAGAUCGCACCACUGCACUCUAGCCUGGGCGACAGAGCGAGACUCCGUCUAAAAAAAAAAAAAAAGAGAUUGUCUUCUCUGAUAUGACAUUUUACCGCUGUCUACACUGAAGACCUAUUUUACCGCUGUCUACACUGAAGACCUAUUUUACCGCUGUCUACACUGAAGACCUAUUUUACAGCUGUCUACACUGGAGUGGUCCAAUGAGUUCUUGUGACGCAGGUCGGAGCUGGCCCUUGGGAUUGCCAGGUCUUGGCACAGUGCCUUCACCGUGCUGCCAUCGCCAAAUCUUUACGAUGCUCUCUUCCCUCCUCAAACUUCAUCCCACACCUUUCUUCCAAGCCAAACAUCUCUAGAUUGGUUGCUCCUGAUACAAUUUUUAGACCAUAGUAGUGCUGUUAUAUUUCAUAAUAUCACAUGAUUUCAUUAUUGUGAGCAAUUUUUAUAGAAACUAUCGGUGCUUUUUUUUUUUUUUUUGAGACGGAGUCUGGCUCUGUCGCCCAGGCUGGAGUGCAGUGGCGCGAUCUCGGCUCACUACAAGCUCCACCUCCCAGGUUCCCACCAUUCUCCUGCCUCAGCCUCCCGAGUAGCUGGGACUACCGGUGCCCUCCACCACGCCCGGCUAAUUUUUUUGUAUUUUUUUUAGUAGAGAUGGGGUUUCACCUUGUUAGCCAGGAUGGUGUCGAUCUCCUGACCUCGUGAUCCGCCCGCCUCGGCCUCCCAAAGUGCUGGGAUUCCAGGCGUGAGCCACCGCGCCCGGCCGAAACUAUCAGUGCUUUUAAGUCACAAAGCUACCCUUGGAGACCGGCUGUGAGGAAAAAUCCUUCCUAAAAGUAUCCUUAGGCUCGUUCCCACAGGCCUGUGCUCUGUGCCCGCCAAGCUCUUCUCCUUGUCUCCAUGCAUGGCCCCUGGCCUCACAUACACCCCAAUUUUUCUCACCUCCAGAUCUCCAGUAGUUUGAAUUUCUUCCCCUAAAACACCCUUCUGCCUUCUUUGGUCCCAUAAACUAUGUCUUACAUACCAUGCUAAUCACUGUUCCUCUAAUGUUGGUAUUUCCUUCUAGACAAAUACAACCAUCCCUUCUUGCAUGCCAGCCAAUGCGUUUGCUUACAGCUGGCUUAGACCUUUGCAGUAGGCUACGUUUUUCCCGAAAUUGACUUAUUUGCAAACCCUGCCUUCUCAAUAAAAUCGUCGACUCCUGGAGGAUAGGCAGGUGAUCUUAUUUUUUUUAGUGUGAUGGUCCACAGGUAUUUAACAGGCACAGCAGACAUUUUAGUUUUUCCUAUUUAUGGGCAACCUGAUAGUACAUGACUUGUAAAUAUUUGUAAUUUCAGUGAAGCAGGACUUUUCUAAUGAUAAAAGUUACAUAAGCUCAGGAAAAAUAAAAGUUCUCUAACUACCCCAUCUUCCAAUUCCACUUGUCCUUAAUUUUACCACAACAAAUGGUUUUAUAUAUACCCUUUGAGGAAUUUUGUUUUCAAAUACAAGCAUACUGUCUCUUUAAAAAAAUGUGAACAGUUACAUGCAUUUAAAUGCCUUCUAGGUAUUGCCAGAUUGCCCCUUGAAAAGGUCAUAGGAGUUAAGAAUUUGAACUUCCCAUCUUCAUGAGGCUUGUGAUCCUCUGUUCCUUCUCAAUUACACGGCAUAAAAUGUUCAUUUAUUUAACUCUUUGAGUGAAGGUUCUCAGAAAAGAAGUCAAUGAUGGGUGCUUUAAUAGCAAUGAAGAAUGAAACAAAGAUAUCUAAAACAGUACUGGUUUUUGGUCAGAAAAUAAAAGUUUUUUUGGUUGUGAGGGAGGUGGAUACAAUGUGAUAAUGUGUUUACAGAUCGCGAAGACUUCCUGAUAGGAAUGUUAAAGGUCUUCUGAUCAUAAGUGAAUAGAACUGAAUUUAGUGACAAAGAGAAGCAUGAACUGAAAUGUUGCACCAUGAAUCAUUGAAAAACUAUUGAUCCUUCCAUUGAAAUGUAUAUAUCUAUAAUAUUUACAUGAAAUGUGUUCUUUCUAUGACUCAGUUUUGAGGUGAAGGCAUAAGAAUUUACAAAUAUACAGUGACACUUUACUUGUUUAUAAACGAAUGUAAAGUCUUCUAAUAUCUCACCCCUCUGAGAAAAUAAAUAGUGAAUUUUUGAUGUUUCUGGAUUUUGUGACAUGCUUUUAAUGUCAUAUGAAUAUUUACCUAUGUUGUAAUCUAGAACUUCUAUGAUUUCAUUUGUUUACAUUUAAAAUUCUGAUGGAUCUGGAAAUCAUUUGUUUGCUUCAGCAUAAGGAAAGAAAUGAUUUUUCAGUUUGAUGUUUUUCCAAUGGAUAAUCAAAUAUACUAUUUGCUAACUAAUCCAAUUAUGUUCCUAUUGUUUUAUGUUGUCGCCAGUACCAUACACUAAAUUCCAUAUAUCCUCUGGUAUAAUUUUUGACUUUAUCUUUCUAUUCCUGAGCUUGUGGCAAAUUUUAAAAUUACUAUAGAUUAAUAAGAGCUUUAUUAUCAAGAAAUGCUUGCUGAUUUAAAAAUACUCAAUAUAAAAGUGAAUAAAGCUGACGUGAAAGCCUUCCAUGUAAUUCUGCUUCCUAGAGAUGAACACUGCUCUCGGUUUGGUGGAUAUUUUUCUGGAAUUCUUUCACACAAUAUGUAUGUGUACACAUGUAUAAUGCAAAUGGAAUCAUAUUAUAUCCUGAUCUGUAAUGUUUUUCACUCAACAAUUUGUCAUGUGUGUUUUCCAAGUCAAUGCAGAGAGAUACACAAUAUGCUUUUAGCUGAGUAUGUCAUUGUAUAGCUAUGCCUAAAUUUAAUUUACCCAAUUUCUUAUUGAAAUCCCUCAGGAUUUUCAUAAUAUUUUACUAUUCCCAACAACCUCGAAAUCCUUCUUUUAUAUAUUUUUGUGCUCUAUAUUUCUGCAGAAUAAAUUCUUAGAAAUAAGGUCGUGUGAUAUUUCCAAAUCAUACUCCAAAAAGCUGAAUUUGUUUGUGGUAGAGCAGUAGCGAGGAGCCCAUUUAGCUCUCCAGUGUCCUGGAAAUUUUUAGGAGACAGGGAUAGAAAGAGGAGGUGAGGAAGAAAUAAAGACUAAGAGCAGAGCCAAGGAGGUGGCCAAAAGUUUUUCUCAUAGAUAGGAAGAAAAAGAACAGAUGGUGAUAGGAGUGAAGGCAAGUUAGGUAACAAGAAAAAAUGACCAACGUAACUACGGAUGUCUCACCAUAGAAUUCGCAUUUGGAGUCAUUCAGUAAUCAUAGAACGAAUACUUGUAAUAUUUAUUGACGGAAAAUAUCUCUAAAAAGUAGUCACCUAAUCACGGUCUGUUGUGAGGUUUUUUUUAUUUUUCUCUAUAACUGAGGGAUUUGGGGUAUCUAAAAAAGAGAUUAAUAGAAAUCAAACGCAUAAUCAUAAAUAUAGCAAAGGAAAAAAUGCCCACUUCUCUGUAUGUUAAAGGUAAAAUUCUUUUUCCAAUGUGUUUAAAUAAAAGUAGUGUUCAGCAUGAGGAAAUGCUAGGAUUAAUAUAAUAAUCUUUUAUUAUAUAAGUGAGUGGUUACUUUAGAAUUUGUAUUUCAUUUUCUAAUGAACCAGUGACCACACAACAUUGUGAUUAUGAUAGAAAGUAUUUGAAUUAAGAUUCAGUUAUUCAAUGUUGUAUUAGCAAUGACAGAGUUUUUCUACUUCUGUCUUUUUCUUCUUUUUAAUAAAGUGUGAUAUCUCCAAGGAAGCUUAAUCCAGAUGUUUAUGAAGCUAGCAUGGCACUUCCUACAAAUGCAAGGAUUGUGAGUGACUCUGGGGCCUCUAUUGCAAAUUGUUCUAGGGAGAAAUUUGCCUGUCCUGGUAUCAAGCCCUGGCUGGAAGCCAGAGAGAGGGUUACAGAAAGAGAUUAAGGUGUCAGUGCUGGAGGCAGAAGAGGCUAUUGGGCAAUUUGUUUGCCUGGUUCUACCGCACACCUGAUUUACACCCAGCUUGUGAAAACCUUACCACAGGUAAAAUGCCAAUAGUUGUUCUACUAGAGUGGUCAACUUUUGACUGAUUUAUCUCCUACAUUUUUCAAACCUUAUGUAAUGUCUUGUUUUUAUAAUAAACAGUUUUGGAAUGUUUUCCUGUAAUAGUUAUUAUGCAGGCACUAAUAAAAUGGUCAAUAUAAUUUUAUACAUAUUAAAACACAUUAGUAUUCUUUGAGAUGAAGUACUAAUAGCAAUACCAGAUAAUAUUGCCAUUGAUUUUUAAAAAUUACUUGAACAUUUAAAAAAUUAUCCAAAUCCAUAAACACAGAACAAUCAAUACAAUCUAAAUAACACCUAUAGUGCAAUUAGUUUAUUGGAAUGAUAGUUUCAGUGGAAAGAAAUAAAGCUUGUUUAGGCUGGUUUUUAUUCUCUACACAUUAUGCAUUGGUUAUGUAAAAAGGCAGAGUUUUCUAGCUAAGAGCAUUAGUUAACUAUAAAAUCAUACUAAUACAUGGUGAAAUGUUUCCCUCAAAGUCGUUUUGAUGGAUAGCUAAUCCUAUGGAUGUUUCAGCAAAAGAAUUAAAGAAUUAAAGCUUAAAAGACUUCAGUAUCAGAUAUUUUAAUUCCUAAGAAACAUCUUUACAUCUUUUAAAGAUCAAAAUUCAUUUUUAGAAAGAUAAUAAAUGUUACAAGUAAACCUUGAUCAAUUAAAGAAAAAAUAAUUGAGAAAGUCAAGGCAUUUUCAGUGUGUGUUUGUAAUUUAUGAGGGUCUCAUGGGACUGAUACACAUCUAUGGUUGCAGGAAGGAAAAUCUGAGAAUACAGACUUUUACUGCUUUUACUGUUCUAGAUUAAAAUAUAGGUAAGUAUUCAUAUGACAUUAAAAGCACGUCACACAAUCCAGAAACAUAAAAAAUUUACUAUUUAUUUUCUCAGAGGGGUGAGAUAUUAGAAAACGUUGCAUUUGUCGUUGUUGUUGGUUUAUGUUUUUUUUUUUUUUUGAGACAGAGUUUCACUGUUGUUGCCCAGGCUGGAGUGCAAUAGCACGAUCUUGGCUCACCGCAACCUCCGCCUCCUGGGUUCAAGCGAUUCUCCUGAUUCAGCCUCCCGAGUAGCUGGGAUUACACGCAUGUGCCAACACGCCUGGCUAAUUUUGUAUUUUUAGUAGAGAUGGGGUUUCUCCGUGUUGAUCAGUCUGGUUUCGAACCCCCAACCUCAGGUGAUCAGCCCGCCUGGGCCUCUCAAAGUGUUGGGAUUACAGGCAUGAGCCACUUUGUUUCUAAACAAGUAAAGUGUCACUGUAUAUUUGUAAAUUUGUAGCUAAGUGUUCUCACAGUGGUUCUCCCUCCUGCCUGCCCCCACUUCCCAAACCUCCUCCUCCUUUGUUCCUUCUCUCACUUUCUUCCUUCUUUCCUUCCAUCUCUUUUCCUUCCUUUUUUCUCUUCUGCAAAACUUUUUUCCACCCAGCCAAUGCCCCCUUCCUUGCCUCACCAGGUGAACUGUUGGUGUUCAGCCAUUCAGAUGCCAUUCGAAACCCUACACUGCUGGAAAGAGUUCCUUGAUGUCUCCUGCCUGGAUUACUGGGUUGCACUCUUCGUCUGUGCUCCCCUAAGUGAGGCUUGUUACAUUAAUAUCAUGCUGUGAUUGUCCCUUUUCUUGCCUACUUUUGCAUCUUUACGGUCCAGUACACUGUUUACAACUAGUAGGAGUUGAACAUUAUUUUUAAACCAAUAUCAGCUAAAUAAAUAAGCAACCCAACUUUUUUCUUAGCUUAAGAAAGCAACAGAAGACAUUUAUUUUUUACUCAUUACAUGUUUACUGAGUGUGGGAUUGCUAUGUAAAUCUUUCUAUCAGCAAUUGGCUAAGAUUCUAUAAAAUAUAAUGAAACUACAUAUGUAUUUAGGUUUUUGCUGACUUUUCUCCCCUCAUCACAACUUAAUUUGCCUUUUUCCUCAAGCCAUAACUGUAAAACGCACAGAAUAUUCUACAUCAUUCUUUUGUGUUUUUGAAAAAAGAUUCUGCUCUCUUUCUUUUAUUGUAUUAUGUAAUAUUUUUGUUUGACCACGGACCCUGGGUGGCGGGUAUUCUAAGGAGCUGAGGCCUGAUCUAAGGCGAGUGUAUUCUGAGAUGGAUGAUUAUAAACGUGUCCAAAACCAAGUGACUCAUGUUUACACGGGUGGGAACUUGGGCUAAUAGAUGUUGGAGGUGGGAGAAAGGAAGGCAAUGCUGUAGGUAUGUUCUCCUUGACGUGUGAGUACCUCGAACGCUUUUAUUGCCAAGAUCGUGAUGAUUAGGGAGUUUAAAGGGAAAUGUACAAAAUGGUCAAAAACACUGUGUUAGGAACAGUCAGUGGGUUUUUUUUUUUUUUUUUUUUACUGUCUUUACUCAGUUUCAUGACAACUGAAGUGCUGUGGUUGGGACAGGAUGACAUUUUCACUUAGAAAGAGGCUUGUAGACAAUAAUUACAUUCAAUACCACAAUAGAAAUGUUAGAGAUUAUUUUCUGUAGCUCAUAAAUAAAACCAGAAGUGUGACUUGGAGUCUCUAGUUUACCUCUGAGAUUUCUGCACAGCGUACAGCAUAGUUAGUGUGACCAAAGUUAGUUCACAGGAUAUGCCGACCAAGAGAAAGUCAUGUCUAACUCUCCAAACUAUCUUAAGGUCUUGUAUCGAAAAUGGCCUUGUGUCUUAAGCAGUGUCUGACUUUGGGAACAGGUACCUGAGGGGAGGUUAGAGAGAGCAGGCUACGACAUGCCUUUAGAGCCCUCAUCUGCAAGAUGAAGACAAUCAAGGACAGAUAUCAAUUCAUUUCAAAGAACUAUUUCAUGCACUGUGCUGCUUAAAGCACUAUGUAUUUGUCAGCGAGGUUUGACCAAACUACCUACAUGAAAAUAUCACCAAAUUAUUCAUCUGGUGUUUUCCUCUAAAGUUAAUACAGUGAAAUGAUAAAGCAGUUUGGACUUGCCUACAGAAAAAGGAUGGCAGAACGAACGUGAUUAUCUGGGGAAUUCAGACCUCAAAACUACUUUUUAACAGAAAUAUCCACAAGCUACAUAUUUUUUUCUUUAAGAAAUACCCUAGAAAGCACCCUCAGUUGUCAAGUUCCGUCUCCUUGUGGGACUCCUUAUACCAAGAACUCCACGUGGAAGGGAACAAACAGGGUGUCUGAUGUGAGAUGAAAUCUCCAGGGCCACACAAGGGGCCUCAUAUUGCCCCUGGCCUGCUCACUUGUUUUUCUUGUUUGUUGCUUGCAUCAGGUGACUUUCUACAAACCACAGGGCUGUGUUUGCACCUGUACUUCCUGAGAAGCCCAUGUUCAUCUUUUGUAAAAGUGCUGGUGAAUUAUUUCCUUAAAAGUCUUCUGGGUGGGUGCAGUGGCUCACACCUGUCAUCCAGCACUUUGAGGAGGCUGAGGUGGGAUGAUUGUUUGAGGUCAGGAGUUCGAGACCAGCCUGGGCAAUAUGAUGAAACCUCAUCUCUACUAAAAAUACAAAAAUUAGCCAGUGCGGUGGCACAUGCCUGUAAUCCCAGCUACUCGGGAGGCUGAGGUGGGAGGAUUGCUUGAGCCUGGGGGGUUAAGGCUGCCGUGAGCUGAGAUAGCGCCACUGCACUCUAGCCUAGGUGAUAGAGUAAGACUCCGUCUCAACAAAUAAAAUAAAUUAAAAAUCAGCCAGGUGUGAUGGUGUAUGUCUGUAGUCCCAGCUACUAGGGAGGCCAAGAUGAGAGAAUCACUUGAUCCCAGGAGUUUGAGGCUACAGUAAGCUGCAAUGGCAUCACUGCACUCCAGCUUGCGCGAAAGAGCAAGACUCUGUCUCAAGAAAAAAAAAAAAAGUUUUCUGUUAGGUUAUCUUUUCCCUAAUGUACACCAUAAAUAUGUUUGCAUGAACUGGAGGAAAAUAUGUGGGUACAGAAAAAUAGGACAAAAGAGGAAAGAGCUGUUGCACUUCAUAUAUCAUGUAUGACAUGCUGUGAAGUGGAGGAAAGGACUGACCUGAAGAGUUUGAACUUAAUGGGCACAAAAUACAAUUUCUGUUUAUAUUUUAAGAAGGUGUCUGCUCUAUAAUGGGUAAUAUGUAUACUAUCUAGUUUAGUACUCACUAAUAGCUAUGAUGAAAACCGCCUUGGUUGACUUAACCUCUUUAAGUCUCAGUUUUUUCAUCCAGAAACUGGGAAUAACAAUGACCUCAUAGCAUCACUGUGAGAAAUUAGUGACACGCAGGACACAAACAUCCUAAUGAAGGAGCUGUUAGUUUAUACUUUUAAGAUGACACCUAUUAUAAAAAUAAAUAUUUCUAACUAUGUUAAACUCUCUAAAUUAACUAAAUUGCUUUUCAGCAGAUUUCCCUGACAUUGCAGGUAUUUAGGAGAUUGUUUAAAAGCUAGACACCAGUUUUGAGACAUCUAGAGGACAGUGUUAUAUUUUGCAGCCAAUUAUGUUCAUGCCAUCAGUGCAAGGCAGAUCUGAGGUCUUCCUUGGUAGGUGGGGCAUGUUACUAGGAUUUUCUUCUGCAAAUUCUGAUCCUACCUGCCAGAAAUCUUUCAUCUGCUGGCCUUUAUUAUGCUAGUAGAAGCUGUUGUUUACUCAAACCCACUGUCCUGCUGAACACUGGAAGUCUUUGCUGUGGCCGUCUUUGCUGCAGGGAUACCUCAGUGUGCUUCUCUUCCACGCUCACAUCUCUGGUCAUCAUUGGUAAAUGUCCCUUGAACUUCGUUGUUACAUGACUUCCUGUUGUAGGUGGCUUUAUCUGUCUUGUUCACAGCACACACUCAGAAAAAAGUGGUAUUUUCAUUGAGUGCAUGCACUUACGAUGAUGACCCUAUUGAGAAUACCUGACUUUCAAAUUAGAGAAUGUCUAGGAACUUGACUUAGGCAGGUCUCCAGGAUCCAAGAAAGAGUGUUCGAUCCUCUAAUUCAGUGCUUUUCAAGGAGAUUUUCAGCAGUUCCCUAGAUGUGUUCUUUGGGAUCUGAGAGUUCUCUACCAGCAUUUUUCAAUGUUUUUGUUUUGAUGUUACCCUAAGCAAAUUAGCAGAAGCAUAUUUUGCAUGAUCUUGAUGGCCGCUUUAUAACUGAGCCGCAUUUCCAACCUGCUUCUGGGUUUGUGUUUAAAACUGACCUGGUGCUAACAUGAGAGCAUGUAGCUUUUGCUGUGCUGGGAAGCAUGCUGGUUGCUUUUGAAGUGGCAUGAAAUAACAAUAGCCAUGAGGGUCCACCAUUAUCCUGAUGGGAAAUUCUUUUUGUAGUUGACGAGACAAAAGUAAACUCCUCUUUGGGAUUAAAAUUGGCAGUUAGAAGUACCUUCAUUCUUAAUGAGCUAGUAAGAAAAUAAUUCAAGUUGACCUAAUUCGUAAAGAAUGCCGUCACACCAAAUGAAAGCCAGGCAGGUGUCAUGGAGCAUGAGGUUUCCAUAGCAGGCUGAAUAUUCCAAGUUAAAGACAAAAGUAAGCAAUGGCCAGAAAUUUUGACUCAUGCUCAGAUUAUCUAUGGAUUAUAUGAAUGAACGAUAACUAGCAUUUAUUCAUUUCCCUCAGUGAUUUGAUGGUGAAAUUGUUGCUGGACUAGACAUUCUUUUUAAUGUCUGCAAGAAUUAAAAACUAAUUUCAGAUGUUAUUUUCAAAAUAGAUUCCAACAGUAAUUGAAAUUGGUUUACAUUUGCAGAUUUCAAUAAUUCUACAAUACUUUUCUUAUCUUUUUAAAAGAUAACUUAAAAGUUUUUUUAGAUUAUUUUUCUUUAGAAGUUUCUAGCAUACUAAGUUUGAGAACUGCUGCUUGUGCCAAAGAUAGGAAUAAACCAACUAAAGGGGACCCUCUGUCCCUUACUUAAUUUUGUGGUUUAAAAUUGUGGAGCCUUCAGAAAUAUCUCUUUCUCUGUAUUUCCUAUUUUUUGGCAUAGAAUAAUUCUUUUCUUAAAAUAAAGACUUCUACAAUAGGGAAAGAAUGAGAGGAUAUCCCAUAUACUCUGGAGGAAGGAUUUAGGGGAUUAAACACAGACUUUUGAGAAUAAAUCGGCUAUCAGUCCUCAGAGUAAGACCUAUUUCCUAGCAAGUGUGAGCUGGGAAGAAGCCUGUCAGAGACCUUGUCACCUCCUGAAAUAGCCCAUGAUCAGAGACACCCAUCUGUGACUUUAUAUCAUCAUACAGUAAGUUGCUGAUAGCAAAGCUUGAAUUAGAGCUGCCUGUAAUUUAGUCAUAGCUAUCAAAUUUACUUCUGGUAAUAAUUUUGUAAAUUUUAUUGUUAUCUUGUAUUUUACAGUUAUCUCUGAAGUAAUUUAUGUCUAAUAGCAUAAUUUUAACGUAAUUAAUUACAUGGGAAUUUAAAGAUUCAUAGUAAAACAAUUUACAGUAGUUUUAACAAUCUGUUCCAAUUUUUAGCCCUUAUAUUUUAUCGUGAAUAAAAUAUGAACAUGUCUAUGAACAUGUCCAUACUUUUUAAUAAGAAAACGACCUUUAACUUUGUAUCAUGGUGGAAUUUGUAAAAGCUAUUGAUAGUUUUGUUCAGACAGAAAUUUAAGAAUUAUAGUAAAUAGUUAUGAUUUGGUUGGAUUAAAAAUUCUGUAAGAUCUGAUCUUAGAAUCUUAAUCUUGCCAAUGAUGAAGAUUCUAAGUGAUGGUGAGGAGUUGUCUGGGAAUAGCUGUAUGUCAUAACAAGCUAAGUUUGUUUAUAAAGCAUGGUAGAGCUCAAAGGGAAAGCUUUUAUGAAAUCUGGCUCUAGCACUUUUUGUCAAAAUAAAUCAAUGAACACAGAAGAAAUGAAAGGAUCCCUCUGUGUGGUAUACUUCCUGCAUCAUUUGCUUUGCUUUUCCUAUUUUUCUCUUUUCUUCUUUCAACUUUUCUAUGCAUUCUGCUGCCCCAAAGUGCCACCUUUGUGUGCUUUUAUGAAUAAUUUGUCCUCUUUCCAAAGCAGGUAGAAGACUCUCAUGUAUUCAAAAUAUUUUAAUUGAGUAUCAAAGUAUUUAUUGAGUAUACUCAAUAUAUUGAGUAACACAUAAUAGACACUCAAUAUCUAUUGAGUUAUGAGCAUCCAUGUGUUAGAAAGUACAGACAUCAACUAAAGAACCCAUAGUUCAUAGUUCCUGUCUUCAAGGAGCUCAGCGUAUCAUGAGAGAAAGAGGCACAUAAGAGACCCAUUGCAUGUGGCAGAGAGGUGGCAACUCUGAGCUCUAUCUAUGGGAGCACCAAGGACAAUACUGCUCACUGGGCCUUGGGAAACCAGGCAAGGCUUCACACUGGAUACUGCAUUGGACCUCACCUUCUUGGAUAUACAAGAAUUUGGCAAACACACAAAACAGGCGGGGGAUUUCAUCCAAAGAGAGGUUUACAGGAUGUACAAAAGCAUGGACUUUUGAAAGUUUGUGAUGUGUCCUGGGAAGUCAAUGUGGCACAGUAAUUUUGUCCUUUCUUCAUUCCACAAGCAAGAGAGAUGAGACCAAGAAGGGAGAUAA